rnacentral:miRNA from 1 species
GCAGACACAUUCCAGCCAAUCAGCAGCAGACCCUCCCUCCCAGACCCUCCCACCUCCUGGACAGCAUCCAUUUUACAUUCAUUGUGAAGCUGCAUUCUUAAUGAGCUGUCCAGGAGGUGGGAGGGUGUGGGAGGGAGGGUCUGCUGCUGAUUGGCUGGAAUGUGUCUG